GACGAACGCUGGCGGCGUGCUUAACACAUGCAAGUCGAACGGAAAGGCCCUGCUUUUGUGGGGUGCUCGAGUGGCGAACGGGUGAGUAACACGUGAGUAACCUGCCCUUGACUUUGUGAUAACUUCAGGAAACUGGGGCUAAUACCGGAUAGGAUCUCCUGCUGCAUGGUGUGGGUUGGAAAGUUUCGGCGGUUGGGGAUGGACUCGCGGCUUAUCAGCUUGUUGGUGGGGUAGUGGCUUACCAAGGCUUUGACGGGUAGCCGGCCUGAGAGGGUGACCGGCCACAUUGGGACUGAGAUACGGCCCAGACUCCUACGGGAGGCAGCAGUGGGGAAUAUUGCACAAUGGGCGGAAGCAUGAUGCAGCAACGCCGCGUGCGGGAUGACGGCCUUCGGGUUGUAAAACGCUUUCGCCUGUGACGAAGCGUGAGUGACGGUAAUGGGUAAAGAAGCACCGGCUAACUACGU
rnacentral:rRNA from 1 species